rnacentral:lncRNA from 10 species
AAGAGAAGCUUUACUGGUGUUCCAGCCCUAAGAAACCUUUGUUCAAGAAAACGGCAGAUGCUCUGUUGAAUCCACUGGAGAUUGUUCUGAUACUAAGGACAAGUAUCAACCAUCUUUCCUGUGAAAAAUUCCCUCUCGUACUUUAGUUCUGUGGAUCCAAAAUUUAUAGCAUUCUUCUACCACCACAGGGGCUCAUAUGACAUUAACAGACAAGACACUUUUCAGAAAGACAGGUUGUUCUUUUGGGCCACAUCUAAGAAAUCUUUGUCUAGCCAAAAGCCACAAAUAAUUUCUCAUUUUUUGGCUUCUGGAAGAUGUACAGUUAAAUGUUAUAUUUGGGACUGUUAUCUAAUUUGAUUAAAUUGCACUCUACAAUAUGAUAUUUGAAUUGAUGAAAAAUUAGUAAAUGUUAAUAUUUUUUAAAGUA